CAGAUCCACGUCUUACAAACAUCAUAAAGUCUUACAUAAAUGCAGCGGAAAACAGAAGAAACUGGAGCUAAGCCUUGACUAAACUGCAGCGGGAACACCACUCCACAGGCAUCCUCGACGGCACGGACGAAGCCUACUCCUCAGAGAAACCUUCAUCUGACCCGAACUCGAACUCUGGGGUUGGGAAAAGUAGAGCAAGACUGAGUACUACCCACUGUACUCAGCAAGUCAUACCGGAAUAGGGGUAUGAUGCAGGGAAUCAUCAAAGAAGAGCUAAAGUGGUUCAUUUGCAUAAAGCGAGCAUUUAUAAACAGAGAUUGAAAGAUUUAAACAGUUGUAAUAAUUAAGCAGUAUUAAUCAUCCACUGUCCAACGCUACACCACGUUGCAACAGGCCCAACCAACCACCUAUACCAUCCAAAUUCAUUAGACUAAACUAAUGUGAGUCUAAUCACGGUGAAUCUGGUUGACCGCCCAUAACCGCGGGCACGGCUAUUCGAAUAGUUUUACUCUGAUCAGAGGUGUACAACUGUACCCACAAGACACAGCCCCACGACACGUUUCCGUGCGCCGACAUGCCACCACGACAUACCGGAAAGAGGCCGUGAUAGGACCCUUCGCAUAACCCCCUCUAGCCAAGCACACCACACCUCAGGUUUCACCCCCGUCCCCAGCGGGCAACGGGCAGUCCCCUCUCGUGCCUAGGUGAAUCCGGAAGCGACAGAGGCCGUCGCAGGGCCCGCCCCGCUCCAUCACGCCCACCCUUGCCUGGAUGCGUCGACUAGAGGAAAGCUACACUACAAGCCCAGCCGUUGCCCACGCUGGCUUGUGGUAAGUACGAUAAAUUCUUCCAGGGCAUCCCGCGAACCGGUCCUUAACUGCCAUGGGUGCGACCAGCAAAACCAUGCACCCACAGCCCACCAUGUGAUUCAUUUUAAUUAACCAACACCAAAGCGGUGUCACUAAUCCAACAUUACCAUUAGAACUAACAGUCUAAACAUUAAUAUGAUUUUCCCCAUUGUGAACUAGUUGAACUAAGCAUGGCUAAGCAAACCCUAGUCCUAACUCUAAUCAGGUUAUAACCCAAGCUAACAAAGGAGCAUGGUAUCAAAAUAGCAUGGCUGUAACAAUAGGUAACCAUCCCAUAGUGAUAUUGCAAAACAAAUGCGGUAUUUGAAAGAAAACAUUAGGACAUUUGCAAUAUAGGAUCAAUAUGAUCAAGUGACAAGCAUGACUUGCCUUGCUCUGCUGCUGGAGGGACCUCGGCGACUAUCUCGAAGUACACCGGAGCGUCGGAGAAAUCGGAAUCUAGCGACAUACAAAGCAAACAUUGCAAACAGGCUAUAAGACUACUGAAACAGAGAAGAAAACCAUUUUUAAUGGAUUCUACACAUUUUUCUUGAUUUACUGAGACUUGAAUGGGAUUAAACGGAGCUCGGAUGAAUUAGUUAUGAAUUUUAGAAGAUUCACUGUGUUUAUUACUAUAACAAAAAUCCUUAAAUAAUUUAUUGCGCAAUAUUAACCAGGGCUGACGUCAGCACGGGGGGAGUGCGGCGCCGACAAGCGGGGCCCACCGGUCAGCGGCCCGGGAGAGAGAGAAAGGGGGCGGCGGCUCGCGGGCCCACUGGUCAGCGGCUCGGGAGGGAAAGAAAGGGGCGGCGGCACCCGGCUCGGCCCGGCUCAAGGCCGGCCGACCGGCCGCGGCGACGGCGACGGCGCGCGCGCGAACGCGUUGCCGGCGACGGCAACCGGUGGCGGGGCGACGGCGCAAAAGGCGAUGCGGAGGCGGCUGCGCUAGCAGCGGCUAGGAAGGGGAGGGAACGGGCGGCGAUAAAGGCGGCCGCCGGCGCGGCUCGGCAUCAAAGCCGACCGGCCGGCUGGGUCUAACGGCGACGGCACGCGGCCGACGACGGCGGCUACCGGCGGCACGGGAGGCGGCGGCGGCAGUCGAAGGCGACGGCGCGCGACUCGAAGCGGCGGCGUGGCACUAGGAGGAGAGGAAGGGGAAAAGAAGGGAGGGGAUGCCUCACCGAGGGUGGCCGGCGCGGAGGAAGACGAUGGCGAACGGCGACGGCAACCACGAGAGGACGACGUCGGCGGGCGGACGAGCUUCGGGGUGCCCUAAGGAAGGAGAAGAGAGGGAUUAGAGAGAGGGAGAUGGACCACGGCGACCGGAACCCAUGGCCGAAGGCGGCGGUAGAGAUGGCGCUCACCCGUGCGCGUGGGGAUGAGGGCUCCGGCGACGAACCUCGACGGAGGAGGGGUGGACGAGGUAGAUCUCGACCCCGCGAACCCGACGGCGACGACGGCGCGGUGCGGCGGCGAUCCUAGCGGCGGCUAGCGGCGGCCGAAGUAGCGGGAAGAAGCGGCGGUGGGUGGGUGCACGGCGCGGGGACGAUGGGGAGCACGGGAGGGGUCGGCGAAAUGGGGAAAAAGGGAGAGGGGGUGCCGGCGAUGCUUAAAUAAGGGGAGAGGAGGCCGGACGUGGCCGGGAGCGGCGGGAAUCGCCGGCCGACGUGGGGAGUGGGGAGGAGAGAGAGGCGGGAUUCGAUUUUCGAAUCCCGGCCAUCUCGGGCGCGGACGCGAGCGGGAGAGAGAGGGGAAUGGGCGCGGGAGAUUCGGCGCACGCGCGGGCGUGGUCGACGUGGCCCGGGGGAGGCGGAGACGUGGGCGCGGCGACGGUUGCGGGCGCGGCGGCGCGCCGGGAUCGGCGGGAGGAGGGAGACGGGCCCGACAGGUGGGCCCCACCUGUCGGCAAUCCCGAGAGAGGAGGCAGCGGGGCGGCCUGGCUGCCGGGCUGGGCCUCGGCCUGCGGCCGGCCCAACAGAGAGGGGGAGGGAGGAAAGGAGAAAUGGGCCGACGGCCCAUUUGACAAAAAGGAGGAAAAAAGAGAGGAAAAAGAAAAAGAAAAAGGAAAAAGGAUUUUCCCUGGAAUAAAAUAUUGCUUGCUCAAUUUUAAUUGGUUGAAAUUAUUUCUAGAGCUCUGAAAAUUCCGCUAAAAAUCCUGUUAAUGAAUUUCGACAUGUAGAACUCAAGGAAAAUUCCACAUGUCAAAUCCGAUUAUUAUUUGCAUUAUUUUCUUAGGGUUUUCUCCUGAUUUCACCUGCAAUUUCUUGGGGUCAUUUGUAAAUUACAAUUUUGGCUUGGGAGAAAAACUUCGGGGUGUGACACAGGACCAGCCAGGGUACACAAAACGACAAGUAAUAUACAAUUCCAAACGUAAAUAAAGCGUAAAAUACUUACAAAAGAGGCACUUAGUCCUCGCACCGAAACGAAAGCAGCAGCAGCGGAAAGAGGCUAUCCUAGCGGGGCUUCAGCUCCACUCCACAGGCAAAACUCAACUGGGGUCUGAGCCUUGGUCCUCUAACUUCGUCUUCAGCUCAGAAGUACUACACUUCUGAAAAGGGGGAAUAAAAGCAAGACUGAGUACAACCACCGUACUCAGCAAGCCACACCAACGAUGCAGACGUGCAAGGGGAUACAAGGAGGGGUUUGUGGCUAUUUGCAUAAAGGCGGUUGUAAAACAUUUUGCUGUGCAAAACAGUAAAACUGUUGAAUAAUUAAGGUAAAUUAGAUCUCCACUGAUCAACGCUACACCAUGUUGAACAGGCCCAACCAACCCACCUAUACUACAGUGCAUUGGGUCGAUUUAUUAAGUGUGAGACUAAUCACGGUGAAUCUGGUCGAUCGCCCAUAACCGCGGGCACGGCUAUUCGAAUAGUUUUACUCUGGCCAGAGGUGCACAACUGUACCCACAAGACACAACCCACCGACAUGUCACCGCGUCAUCAUGUGCCCAUGAUGCACACGUCACCAUGUCGAGUGAUUGUGACGAGACCCUUCGCAUAACCCUCCCCUAACCAUCCACACCACGCUAAGGUUUCACCCCCACCCCUCAAAAGGCAGUGGGCGGUCCCCUCUUGCGCCGCGGUGAAUCCGGCAGCUGGACAACCGGACACCCCGGCUGACCCAACUCCAUCAUGCCCACCCUCGCCACCGGUGCGUAGGAAAGGGUCGAGCUAUACUUCAGAUCAAGCAGUUACCCACUCCCGCUUGUGGCAAGCGUUGUAAGUCUUCCAGGGUUUCCCGUGAACCGGUCCUUAAUUGCCAUGGGUGCGACUCACAAAACCAUGCACCCACAGCCCACCAUUCAGUCGCAUUUUAGUUGGAUAAUUACGACCAUGAAACAUGGCCAGAUGUCUCGAGCACGCAGCUCAACAAGAUACUAGAAUGUCUAAUACUGCAAUUAUCCCAUCGACUGAGCUAGUGGUAAUUAAACAUGGCUAAGCAUAUAGUUCUAGCUAGGUCAUCAAAGUAACACAAGCUAGGCGAUUUAUUACCCAUGGUUGACAAAGGACAGAUAUCAAGUAAACAUGGCACAAGCGAGCAGAUAGGUAAAAUCCUGACCCCAUGUAAUUAGCAAAACAUGCAUAUUUAUUUGCAAACAGUAAAACAUUUGUAAAUUGGGAUCAACAUGCUCAAGGGGAAUGUGUGACUUACCUUGCUUCUUCAAACAAUCUUCCGAACUCUUAUCCUUGCGACCGUGAUCUUCCGAAACGACGGAUUCUACACGCUGGCACGCAAAACAAGGAAAAGCCUAAUAAAAACCAAGGAAAAAGUACAUAAAAAGUAAACAAACAUGUAGAGCUCAAUUUUAGAUAAAUUUUGCAAGCUGAACGGCUCAAUUUGGAGUUCGAAUGAAUUAGAUAUGAAUUUUAGAAGUUUUGAGCCAUUUAAAUGAAUUUCUAUAAUUAUUAACGAAUUAUGACGCAAUUAUUAUUUAUUUUUCCAAAGGAAAAGAGGGUUGCUGACGUCAUCAAAGGGGAGGGGCGGCGCCGGCAAGCGGGCCCCACCGGUCAGCGGCACAAGGGCGCCGGUCCACCGUGGACCGAGACCACGGGGUGGUCCACCGCCGGUCCACGGGAACCGACGGCCCAGAUCAGCCCGAGCUGAUCGGGCGGCCACGGGGUGGCGCGGCUGAGCACGGGCACGGCUCAGGCCGGCCCGGCCGAGCGACGGCUCACGGCGGCGCGGCCUCCUGCGGCGACGGCCGACGCACGCGGGAAAGCGGCGGCGCGUCGCGGCAAGGGGAUCCGGGCGGCCUAGGCGAGCGGGGCGGCGACAAGCCGGCCGGCCGACCUAACGGCGGCGGCGCACGGCCCGGUGGUCGCCGGUGGCGGCCACCGGCGUGGCAGCACGCACGGGAGACAGAGGAGGGAGGCAAGGAGGGAGAGGAGGAGCUCACCAAGGACGCGACGACGAGGGGCGGGGAAAGACGGGGGAGCUCGGCGUCGGCGCUCCUCAGGACGAAGGCGGAACGGCGGCCCGGCGGCGUAGGGUGGAGGUGGCUUGGGAUGCACGGUGGAAGGGUGGUUGCGGCGAUUAAAUGGGGAAACAGAUCAGAGGCCGGGGUGCGGCGAGGCACGGAGAAGCCGGCGGUGCAAACAGCACGGCGCGGCAGUGGCUAGGGCGGCGGCUAGAGGUGGCCGGGGCUCGCCGGGGACCGAUGGAGAGAGGGAGCACGGUGGAGAGGUUGUUCGCGUGGUGGAAGGGGAGGAAGAAACGGCGGCCGAGCGUGCCCUUGAGGUGGCAAAGCCAGCGGUGGUGGCGGAGCAGUGCGGCGGCGACCCUAGCGACGGGAAACGGCGGCCGGAGUUCGCCGGAGUGUGGCGGCGCGCGGGAGCGGCGUGGGGAGAGCGAGGGAGAGAGUGCCGGGCCCGGGAAACAAGGGGAAAUGGACGAGGGGAGCACGGGGGUGCUUUUUAUGGGCUCGGGAAGGCGGGAUCGAGGCCGGACGUGGCGGAAUCGGCCGGCGAAGUGGGGCGCCGACGUGGGGUGGUGGAGGGGUUAACCGGCGCCGAUUUUCGCGGGGAGAGUGGGGGGGAAAAGGUGGAGGAGGUGGAGGGGAUCAAUUUCACGCGCUCGUGGGGCGGGGUGGAGCGCGGGAGCCGCGGCGUCGUGGGGCGAAACCGGCGGCCAUGGCGGCAGUUGGGGCGACGGGAGGUUGGGGAAGAAGAUGACAGGUGGGGCCUCAGGUCCCACCUGUCGGGGAGAGAGAGGGGAAAACGGGCGAGGGAGGUAAAGCAGACUUGAGGGAGGAGGCCGGCCCGAGAGGGAGAGAAAAGGGGCGCGCGGGCCGCGGGAGAGAAGGAAGACUUGGGCCGAAAAGGGGCCCAAAGAGAGGAAGGAGGAUUUUAUUUGUUUUCUUUUUAUUUUAAUUGAUGCAAUGAUCUUUGUGCUAUUAAAACUAUUUCUCGAGCUCCGAAAAUUCACAGGAAAAUUCCGGAGAGUACAUUAGGGCACAAAGAAUAUUACAAAAUAUUUCCGGCCAAUAAAUUUUAAAGGGAAAAUUUUAAUUCUCCCAAUAAUUCACUUGAUUAAGUUGAUUUAACUUUUAUUUAAUUUCUAGAAGAUGUAUUAUUAAUUGAUUUUUAUUCCCGAACGAAAAUCGGGGCGUUACAACAGGGACCCUCUCCAGCUCUAUAAUAGAAGAAACUUAUCAUCUUAUACACAUUGCAGCAAGGGAUCUAGAUAAGAACAUAGGAAUAGGGUGUUACGCUUCCGAGUAGUCCAAACCCAUAUAAACCACAUGUCUCCCUCUGAUUCUCACGUAAAAGAACUUUUGUGCAUACCUACACCCUGGCCGAAUCAAAAAGAGGAGUAUCACUACUCCCCGCUAUUCACAACCCCCUCUACACACAACAUCAACUAUUCGCAGUGCACUUAUAAUUGGUAUAAGAGCUUUUAAGCUCUCCAAUUGAUCUUUCACAUGGCACUAUAAUAUAAGUUGUCAAUCUUUUUCAGAAUUUUUCAUGAUAAAGAAAAAAUUUAGCCAAGUGCAUUGAAGUGGUGGGGGAGGGGGGGGGGGGGGCUCCCGCAGCCCAUUGGCAUGAAGGCCACAAAAAGCACACAUCCCAGAACCAAGCCAAAGACAGGCAGACACCAAAACAGAUGUCACGCCCGGAAAUUCACUAGUAAUUUCCGAACUUAUUUGUGCAUAAAAUCCUCGUCCAGGAAUCAGCCGAGGUACACAAACUGACAAUUUAAUAUACAGAUUCAUCAAUAACUAAAGCGAAUAAAUACUUACUUAAGAGGCACUUAGUCCUCAACAUGAAGAAAACUGCAGCGGAAAAUAAAAUCUAGCGAAGCUCCAGCUCCACUCCCACAGGCAGCUCAACUGGGGUAUAAGCCAAACGUCUUCUCCUUCUGGAUCCUUUUUCUUCAACUGAGGUUGAUUGAUUAUUGCAAGGUGAGCAUAUGACAUACUCAGCAAGCCACACAGCAAAUAUGCAAGUGCACAAGGAUACCAAAGGAUGGCAUAAUAUUGGCUCAUUUGCAAAAGCAGCAUUUAGCAAAACAUUUAAGAGAAGUAAAACAGUGGAGUAAUUCAUCAGGAAUUUUAAUCAACACUGAACAGCACACCCAUGCUGCACAGGCCCAACCAUCCUGAACAACCAUACCCGGCUGUACAGAUCUAAUCUCCAAACCAGGAGCUAAGCAAAUUAUUAUCAGGUAUAACAUCCAUAAUUAUUGUGAGAGGUGUGGGACUAAUCACGAAAAACAUUGCUCAACUCGCCCAUAACCGCGGGCACGGCUAUUCGAAUAGUUUUACUCUGGCCAGAGGUGUACCACUGUACCCACAAGACACAGCCUCAACAUCAUGUCUACCAUGCGUCGCGAUACUGGAAAGUACCCGAAUAGAGGCUGUGACAAUACCCUCUGCAUAACACAACUCACCACAGUGCACCAUUCCUGGAUCAUAAUCACCCCCUUAUAAAACAAGGCAUGGACUCUCCAGCGACCCCCGUGGGCUUAUCUCCGCCACUUCUCAGUCUGGUGCUCCGCAAUGAAUCAUGUUAUACAAAAGGUAAAGCCGUUGCCCACGCUGGCUUGUGGUUGGCACGGUUAAUGUUUCACAACAGUAGCUCGCGAACCGGUCCUUAAUUGUCAUAAGCACGACUCUCAAAACCAUGUGCUCACAACCCACCAUUAUCAAGUUUUAGUUGGCAAGUAAUUAAUUAACCAAUCACGAUUGACCAUCGUGAGCUACCAUUAAACAUAACCAUAAGUGAUAGUGAAACAUUAGUUAUCCCAAUUGUGUGCUAAUGUUUCUAAGCAUGGCUAAGCGAUCACAUCUAAUAUCUAGCUGAACCAAUAUAUAAAGCUCAACUAGUCAAAUUAUAAUAACCCAAGGUAUCAAGGAUUAAAGUAAUCAAUGCAAACAGGCCAUAACAAAGGAAUAGGUUCACACCACCCAGUGACAUUCGAAAAUAAAUGCACAGUUGAAAUAAAUAGAGAAUUUAAAUAUAGGAUCAACAUGCUCAAAGGAUUGUGUUUAGGAUCUGUGUGACUUGCCUUGCAAUAAUCGGUCUUCAAUUAAUCUUCUUGAAUACUUCCGGCGCACUCGCGAACCUUCGCAACGACGGAAACGACAAGCUAUCACGCAAAACGAGGAAAAAGACUAAUAAAAACCAAAUAAACAAUACAUAAAAAGUAAACAAACAUGUAGAUCAUAUUUUUAGAUGAAUUAUGAGACUUGAACGGCCUCAUUCUGACUUCAAAUGAAUUUAUUAUAAAUUUUACAAGAUUAAAUCUAAUUAAAGCCCAUUUAAAAAGAAUUAAAUAAAUUUAAUUCAAUUUAUGGACAAUUUUAAUAUGUAGAUCUUUAUUUUAUACAACUUUUGCAACUUGAACCACAUUAAACUGAGUUAAGAUGAAUUAGUUAUGAAUUUUUAAAGAUUAAAUCGGAUUAAAACCUUUAUAUAGAUUUUAAUUGAAUUAUGACGCAAUAAUGAAUUAUUUUUGAAAAGGAAAAGAAGGAUUAUUGCGUCAGCGGCUAGGGUUUCGGUGGACCGGGCGCACGGGCGACGGUUCACGGGAACAGACGGCCGAGAUCAACCCUAUCCAAAACGGACGGCUGAGAUCGAUCGGUCCACGACCGGCUCACGGAAGAAGGGACGAUGACGCCAGCGAUGACGUCACUGACAGCGGCGGCGGCUCGGCGGAGCGGACAGCUCGGGCGGCGCACGCUCGCCGGCGAACGGCGGCACUUCGGCACAAACGGAGGGCACCAGCACGUAGAGGACGACGCGGCGAACUCACCGGUGACCAAAACGGCGGCGGAAGACCAACGGACGGCGGCGGCGACGAGGAGGAAGCGGCGAAGCUCUUCGGGUCGACGACGGCGACGGCGCUCCGACGGUCUUCGGCGGCGGCGAAACGGUGGACGGGGACGGCGAUGACUUGGCGAACCCGAUGGUGGCGACGGCGACCGACGACGGCGACUGCAACGGCGGCGCGGCGCGGCUGAACCGACGGCAACGACGGCGGCGACUAGGGCUACGCGGAGGCGGCGCUAGACGCGACGGCAGGCUAAGGCAAAGGAGGCGACGGGUAGAGGGGAGGCGGCGGCAAAGGCCCACGGCGGCCGGCGACGAGAAGGAAAGCUCGCGGCUUGAAGGAAAGAGGCCGAUCCGAAUCGAACUCUAUUCCACGAACUUCCAAAACGAUUUAGCCGAUGUUUCCAAAGGAGAAAAGGUAGAGGAGAUCCCGGAGAUUGUUUCCCCUCAAUCAAUUCGGCCGGAGAAGGAAAGGAGCGGCCGGAUUUGGAAGGAAACGGCGACGGCGGCGCGCUAGGGUUUCGGGCGGCAGCAGCGGCUCGAGGAAGACGAACCUGACAAGUGGGGCCCACCUGUCAGCGGCUGAGAGAGAGAGGAGAGCGGCGGCUCGGCGGACUGGGCCGGCUGGGCCGAGGGAAAGAGAGAGAGAGGUUUUGGGCCGACUUUCGGCCCAAAGCCAAAAGAAGACUUUUUAAAACCUUUUUCAAUUAAAUUAUUUCUUAAAUGCAAUUCCAUUUAUUAAAAAUACUUCCUUAGCUCAAAUAAAUCCCAGAAAAAUCUAGGAAUUAUAGAAUUAAGCAAAGUAUUUAAUGAAAUUUUAUCUGGCCCCUUUUUAUAUUGAGAUUUAGCAAAUUAAAAUUAGAUCUUCUCUUUUAGGCUUUUAAAAUCAUUUCUAAUAAUUCCUUUUAAACAACAAUUUAUAAGUUAAGGAUUUUUAAACAAGAAAAGCUCUUAACAAUUAUACUUAGAUCAUUAAUGAUCAAAUAAUUACUAAACUGUUCUUUGUAUUAUUUAAGAAUUGAGCUCUGAAAAAAUCCGAGAAAAUUUCAGAGAGUUGACUUAACCAUGGAGAAUUUAACAAAAAUUAAAUCCAUCCAUGCUUUAGAUUUAAGAAAUUUCAUUUCCCACAUUUUACUUCACUUGAAAAUUAAAGAUCAUUUAAUAUAAAUUCUAUUAAUAAUUUAUUAAAUAAUUUAUAAAUCCUGAAACGAAAAUCAGGAUGUGACAACAGAACAUCAACAUUGUCAGGAAGAUCAUCGAAAUUCAUAUUCUCACGCUUUUAUGAUCACUGAAAAUCAUAUUUUCACGCUUUUAUGAUCACUGAAAAUCAUAUUUUCAUUGCAUGACCCUUAAAAAAGUAUUCAACCCACUCGUCAUCUCGAAGGCCUCAUAGUAAUUUAGCAUUAAUACAUGAAUUAAAAGAGUUGUUAUCUAAGAAAGGUUAAGAUUUUCUUUACCUGUAGUAGCGUUCAGAACAAAGAAACAUGCCAUAGGGAUAGGCUCUGGCGGUGGCCGGGCGACCGGGAGACGCUGACCGAUCCUCAACCUCUGAAUUGGCUAUGGAUGGAGUCCUUCUCCAAUCUGCUAUGGAAGUCUGCAGGGGCUACGCCUGCUAUCCGGUUGAGCCGGGAGGAAUCAGGAUCUGAUACGAGAUUGAACUCUGCCCUUGGGUUCUUCGUGUUCUUUCUGAGAACUAUAUGCAACUCUUGGAAAGAUAUACAUGGGCCUGAAGGAUUUAGCCCUUCUUUUGAAGUCCGAAUCAAACUUGAUGUACCUCAGAUUGGUAACCUAAGGUUGUUUUGGAGUUAUGAUUGGUGGAGAUCGGAUUGGUCUGAUAUCGUGCGGGUAAGGGACUUGUUGCUGAAACUCUUUUUAAGGGACGGAUCGGUGGUGCGGCAAACGCAGGUUGCAAUCUCCCAGAAGCCAAGUUCUCUAGAUCGAUUCUCUGUUCGUCCUCAAGGUUUCGGUUCUACUUCAAUGGUGUCCGCAGGCGGUGGGGGUGACAAAGGGAUCAUCAAGGCGAUGAUUACCCACCCGAAGCCGUCUGAGGAGGCUCUGAUUGUGCCGACGAACAAAUCCUUAGUUCUGCAGGAUUCGAUGGUGAGAACAGAUUUGCCACCCGGAGCAAAAGUGGAUCCCAAAGUGAAGACUAUUGUGCAGAGAUUGUUGUCAACGUUAGAGCAUGAAGGGGCUAGAUCCCAAUCCUAGCCACAGGGACUAGAGGCCUUUACAUAAGGGGAAAUUGAAGGGGAAGAAGAUAAGGUGGUUGAAGUGAAUAUUGAGGAAGAGGAGUUGAAGCAGGCAGGGCAGUGAACAAUGUUGGCUCGUUUCUACUCUCUUAAAGUGCCGAAACAGAGUGCUCUCUUUGAUGACAUGGGUCGAGCGUGGAGGCUGCGGUCUGAUAUGAGCUAUAAGUCCCUACGUGAUAACCUGUUUAUCAUUACAUUCAGCACGGAAGGGGAUUAUAACUUUGUUCUCCAAGGGGGGGGGGUCCCUGGCUACACAAAGGAGAUGCUUUAUUGGUAGCUGCUUUUCCUGACAUGCCCCUCAAAAGUUCCAUUGGAAGUGGUUCCUAUAUGGAUCAGAAUAUACGAUCUUCCGUUAGCCCUGAUGAUAAAAGCUAGAGGUCAGUUGUAUGGCAGUCGGUUUGGUCAUGUGAGGAAGGUUGAUGUGGAAGAGGAUGGUCGCAAUAGGCAUGAUUUCUUCCGUAUUCGUGUGGACUUGCCAGUGAAGAAGCCUUUGAAAUCCAAGCUAGCAAUAAAAAUCAAUGCCCAGGGCACUGAAGUAGUCAUACGGUUCGAUGUUCGUUACAAGUGGAUUCCAUACUUUUGCUUCUGCUGUGGUUUUAUUGGACACUCGGAUAAGGAUUGUGAGAAAAAGGUUGCUAACAGUGAUGCCCCCUACCAGUUCUCUGAAGAAUUGCGGUGCUCCUUGCUGAAGGCAUAUGAGAGGAAGGUUAGCAAAGUCAAAGCAACGCAUUCUACCAUUGUACCUCGUAAGCUAGUUUUUCGGGGUGCAGGGAGUGCAAACUCCUCUUCGUCCAGGAAUGCUCAGGAGGAGAAGUGGGAUGAGGCUAUCCCACCAAGGGUGGAUGCACACGAUGGGUUUGAUACCAGGGAGGAAGCGGGGGAUGAACGGGUUGAUGAUCAGUUGGCUAGCCAGGCAAAUAAGCUUUCUGUUUCUGGCAAAUCUCAGGGAUAGCCUGUACAGGUGAAGGAUCCAAAGGAUAUCACGGUUUCUGCUAGUAGUCUGAAAGGAGAUAUGAUUCCUGCAAUUGCGAAUCUACAUCAACCUGCAUCCUUUUGGGAGACGUGGGCAGAAGAUACAACCAGUAUACUCAAGAGAAGAACUCCAGACCUAGUAGCAAUCAAGGAAACAGGAAGAGUUAAGCAGGCUCUUCUUCAAUUUGGGCAGGAGGAUACAGCCUCUAGGAAGGAUCAAGCUGAACCCAGCCUUCAAGGGAGGCAGCUUAAGCGUUUCAAGCAGGUUGAUACAGAUAAGCAGGAUUUGGAGGAUAUGGAAGCAACCAGCCCCGGGGUUGUUGGUAAAUUGGUGGGUCCUACGAUGGGAUCCCGCCAGGAGCAAUGAGUUGCUUAAGUUGGAACUGUCGUGGUAUCGGGAACGCCACGACAGUUCGAGAUCUGUGUGCCUUGGCUCGCGAGGCAGGAUCUAAGCUUGUGUUCCUUUGUGAGACCAGACAGAAAGUUGAUAAGAUGCGUCGUAUUCGUAAUAAGAUAGGUUUAAGGGGGUUUUGCUGGAGUUGAUUGUGAGGGUUUAAGUGGUGGUUUGGCUCUGUUUUGGGAUGAAUCGUUUCAUGUGGAAAUAAAAGAUAUGAAUGAAAGAUAUAUUGAUGCGUAUGUGCGCUUGUCUGUGGAUGAUCCUUUGUGGCAUGUUACAUUUGUGUAUGGUGAAACUAAAGUAGAGAACAGGCACCGGAUGUGGUCAUUAUUGAAUUUGCUAAGACAGUCAUCCAAUCUUCCCUGGCUGGUUAUGGGUGAUUUCAAUGAAACCUUGUGGCAAUUUGAACAUAUGUCCAGGAGACAAAGGAGUGAACCCCAGAUGCAUAGUGUCAGGGUUAUGGAUACCACAUACCUAAUACCUUCAAACCGCCAUGUCGACAACAGUUAGAUAGGCUACCCCACAUAUUGUACUGGUGUGAUUAUGGUGAAUAAGAGCAAUACCGGCUCCGGCCAACAGGAUGUAGGGUUAUUACCUGACAAUUCAGGGGCCCGAACCUGUAUAAAAAUCCUCGUCUCCAUCUCUUUUACCUCAGUCUCGCAUAUAUCUUAGCACCGACGAUCCCCAUACUAUUCAAAUACCAUAAUUGCGACAUCAAACGUCGACAGUGGCGCGCCAGGUAGGGGGAUUUUGGUGCUUCAGGGUUUCGAGGAGAUGGGUUUAAGAGAUGGAUUCUCCAAUAACAAGCUACUCAACGACUUCGGCUGUGGAGAUCUAACCUGACCAGAGCAUGUCUUCCGACGAGAUUGGAACCAUUAUCGUCAUCGACAACUUGGUCUAUCAAGAUCACCCAAGCCUCAAGAUACGCGGUGUACCAAAAGAUGUCAGAUCAUAUGAUGUCGAACGAGUACGCAAUAAGGUAAUUGGUAGAUGGGUUUCUCAAAUUGAUCUACAAAUUCCGUAGAUACAUCCGGUAUGUAUCUACAAAGGUACGCAAUAUUUUAUAUGCAAUUUAUCGUACCUAUUCAGAUGAUACAACAUUGUCAGAUCUAUAAUUUAUUAUGUUUACCUAGAGCAUGUUUUUUAUACAAUAUCUAUUGUGCGAGUGUUUCCGAUGUUAAGCCGACUACGGUCUAACACUGGGGGCUCGCUCUGUUUUUGUCUGUAUAAAUCAUGUUUGUUUACGGUUUACAUAAUGCCUGAUAUUUACAUCUGCUUGUUGUCUCCUGAUAAGACUAGAAGAUUCAUGCAGUUUUUCAAAUACAUACUCGAUAUUAUCUACUAUAUGUCUUGCCUUCUAGAAAAUAAUUUUCAGGAACAAUUGAGCAUUCGAGUAGGUUGUGGUCGAGUACACUCCAUUAUCGAGAACAUUCUUGACAAAUGCGGAGUCAUCGCACCCAACCUACCAACAAAGACCGACGACCUAUCUCACAGCACCAGCCAUGGCUGGACUACUCGAGAAAAGGUUGUCAACGGAUAAUUCCUCGCGAACGUCGUCGGCUUGAUCACCCGACAUGAUUGCGAACGGACAUCCGGAUAUGCUAUAAGUUGGGUAUGUGAGUCAUGCUGGCCACAUGAGAUACACAUGUAAUAAACCAACUCUAGCACUUUCAUUGGUGUUCGAGAGAUAAUUCUACUCGCUCACUGGUCCUCGCACCAGUACGUAGCAAUCUCUCGCACCGCAACUUCCAUUGGUGUUCGAGAGAUAAUUCUACUCGUUCGCUGGUCCUCGCACCAGUACGUAGCAAUCUCUCGCACCGCAACUUCCGUUGGUGUUCGAGAGAUAAUUAUACUCGCUCAUUGGUUCUCGCACCAGUACGUAGCAAUCUCUCGCACCGCAACUUCCAUUGGUGUUCGAGAGAUAAUUCUACUCGCUCGCUGGUUUUCUCGCACCAGUACGUAGCAAUCUCUCACACCGCAAACUUCCAUUGGUGUUCGAGAGAUAAUUCUACUCGCUCGCUGGUUCUCCAACCAGUACGUAGCAAUCUCUCACACCGCAAACUUCCAUUGGUGUUCGAGAGAUAAUUCUACUCGCUCGCUGGUUCCCGCACCAGUACGUAGCAAUCUCUCACACCGCAAGCUUCCAUUGGUGUUCGAGAGAUAAUUCUACUCACUCGCUGGUUCUCGCACCAGUACAUAGCAAUCUCUCACACCGCAAACUUCCAUUGGUGUUCGAGAGAUUAUUCUACUCGCUCGCUGGUUCUCCAACCAGUACGUAGCAAUCUCUCACACCGCAAACUUCCAUUGGUGUUCGAGAGAUAACUCUACUCGUUCGUUGGUCCUCGAACCAGUACGUAGCAAUCUCUCGCACCGCAACCUCCGUUGGUGGUUGUCACGCCCAGAAAUUCCCGAAUAGAAUUCCAAGCAGAAUGUGCAUUAAAAUCCCCGUCCAGGACCAGCCGGGGUACACAAACGACAAUGUUGACAUUCAGAUCCACGUCUUACAAACAUCAUAAAAGUCUUACAUAAAUGCAGCGGAAAGAAAGAAAGACAACAGGAGCUAAGCCUUGACUUGAACUGCAGCGGGAACACCACUCCACAGGCAUCCUCGACGGUACGGACAAAGCCUACUCCUCGGAGAAACCUUCAUCUGACCCGAACUCGAACUCUGGGGGUUGGGAAAAGAAGAGCAAGACUAAGUACUACCCACUGUACUCAGCAAGUCAUACCGGAAUAGGGGUAUGAUGCAGGGAAUCAUCAAAGAAGAGCUAAAGUGGUUCAUUUGCAUAAAGCGAGCAUUUAUAAACAGAGAUUGAAAGAUUUAAACAGUUGUAAUAAUUAAUUAAUAUUAACUAUCCACUGUCCAACGCUAACCCACGUUGCGACAGAACCAACCAUCCACCUAAACUAUCCAAAUUAAAGGAUUACACUAAGGUGAGACUAAUCACGGUGAAUCUGGUUGACCGCCCAUAACCGCGGGCACGGCUAUUCGAAUAGUUUUACUCUGAUCAGAGGUGUACAACUGUACCCACAAGACACAGCCCCACGACACGUUUCCGUGCGCCGACAUGUCACCACGACAUACCGGAAAGAGGCCGUGACAGGACCAUUCGCAUAACCCC
rnacentral:lncRNA from 1 species